rnacentral:rRNA from 1 species
AACGAACGCUGGCGGCGCGCCUAACACAUGCAAGUCGAACGAGAAGGCGUAGCAAUACGCUUGUAGAGUGGCGAACGGGUGAGUAAUACGUGGGUGACCUACCCUCGAGUGGGGAAUAACCCGCCGAAAGGCGGGCUAAUGCCGCGUACGCUUCCGUCCUCACGGGGACGGAAGGAAAGCUGUACCGUGGGUACGGCGCUCAAGGAUGGGCUCACGUCCUAUCAGCUUGUUGGUAGGUAACGGCCUACCAAGGCUACGACGGGUAGCUGGUCUGAGAGGACGAUCAGCCACACUGGCACUGCGACACGGGCCAGACUCCUACGGGAGGCAGCAGUGAGGAAUAUUGCGCAAUGGGCGAAAGCCUGACGCAGCGACGCCGCGGUGGGGA